GAGCUGCUUUGGUAUGCAUAUAUAUAUAUAUAUAUAUAUAUAUAUAUAUAUAUGCAGAUACGAGGCAGCUU